AAAAAAUGGAUCCGAUGGAUCUGAUGGAUCGAAUGGAUCCAUUUUUUUUAUAUAACUAAAAUCCAAUGUAUCCAUUGUAUCCAUCGGAUCCAUUUUUUUUUAUAUAACUAAAAUCCAAUGUAUCCAUUGGAUCCAUCAGAUCCAUCGGAUCCAUUUUU